rnacentral:misc_RNA from 1 species
CUCUCUUCCUAAUGCAACUUGUUCAAGCUUGUGAUCAUCUUCGCACAAGAUGUCAAGUGGAACAUCAGCAUCCACAACAUGAAGACUGGGCACAAGAGAUGAUACCCUCUUCAAAAAGAGGACCACUUCCUUGUUUGACAUAGGCGGUAUAUAAACUGGGAUAUAAACGUGCAAAGCAUAGUUGCCUUCAACAUGGGGAAAGCUCCUCGCUCGAUUUGGCUGUCCAGCUUGCA